UACGUAUGGUGCAAGCGUUAUCCGGAUUUACUGGGUGUAAAGGGAGCGUAGGCGGCACGUUAAGUCUGAUGUGAAAACCCGAGGCUCAACCACGGGAGUGCAUUGGAAACUGGCGAGCUGGAGUGCCGGAGAGGUAAGCGGAAUUCCUAGUGUAGCGGUGAAAUGCGUAGAUAUUAGGAGGAACACCAGUGGCGAAGGCGGCUUACUGGACGGCAACUGACGCUGAGGCUCGAAAGCGUGGGGAGCAAACAGG
rnacentral:rRNA from 1 species